rnacentral:tRNA from 23 species
GCCGAAGUGGUGGAAUGGCAGACACGCACGUUUGAGGGGCGUGUGGCGCAAGCCGUGCGGGUUCAAGUCCCGCCUUCGGCACCA